UACAGAGGGGUGCAAGCGUUAAUCGGAAUUACUGGGCGUAAAGCGUGCGCAGUCGGUUAUUUAAGUCGGAUGUGAAAUCCCCGGGCUCAACCUGGGAAUUGCAUUCGAUACUGGAUGGCUAGAGUUCGGCAGAGGGAAGUGGAAUUUCAGGUGUAGCGGUGAAAUGCGUAGAUAUCUGAAGGAACAUCAGUGGCGAAAGCGACUUCCUGGACCAGAACUGACGAUCAGGCACGAAAGCGUGGGGAGCAAACAGG
rnacentral:rRNA from 1 species